GGGAGCCAAACCUGGAAAGCGGAACUUGCGAAACUCGACGAGUCCCACUGAAGUGGCGGAACUGCGGACGGCAAUACCUUACCGUUGCCGCGCCGCUUGCAACCAGCUGCCCGCCCGCAACCGGCUUGCACAAAGCGACGGACAGGCUUGACACACACAGGCACAGCGCUGUUCUUGCAGUAACCGCAGUAGCCAAAGAAUUCACCGAGAGCCGCGACCAGCCAAUUCCACUUCCUCUUGUUCGUACCCUGACCACAUACUUCAGGGGCAACUGGGCAAUUUGCGUCGACUGUUCUAGCCGCCCGCGAGCACCUUGUCCAGAGCAACGCUGAGAUCACCAUAAGAUGCCGAUCAAAAGUGGAAGGACGCGCUCAGAGCGCUCAAUCGACGCACGGGGGGGAUACGAGUCCAGGUGAUAUCACAACCACAACACGUGCCCUGGUCUUUCUCAUCGGAAAUUUUCAGCGAAGCAAAGCCUCACACGGGUCGAAUAUAGUGUCCUUAGUCGGAGGUUUUGAGACUGUUGAAACAAGAGGGACAGUACCCUUUCAGCCAAAAAGACAGGGCAAGACAAAACAAGGAAAGACAUCCAUGCUUUGACAGGACGCCUUGAAUCUUCGAGGUGCAUCUCCACUGGACUAGCCCGCCCUUGCGGAUGCCUUGUUUGGGAUAACCGAUCGUCGCUUCGGCCGCCUCCACCAGCCCGCCGCCCGGGGGGCCGGGGCCUUAACACCACGACCAUCAUCGACGCUAACACCAACAAUUUGGGUGUCCUCGGUCUGAGACGGUACCUGGCUCCAGCUGCCCUGCUGCCAACACUCCUCGCCGUCCAAUCAUCAAUGACGCUGACAAGGACACGGAAAUCGGAUGGGAACAAUGCAAGUACAGGUACAUACCUACUGGUCUGGCAGCACAUGUGGCAUGAUAGCUCGUUGCUACCGGCUGGACGCAGUAGAGCGGGCGUGGGCGUGGGCGAGCCGCUGUAUACCUUAUCAUUUGUUUUUUUUUUUUUUUUUUUUUCCGCCCAUGGUUCUUGGCCAGCAUGUGUCAUAUCUCCUCCAUCGUCCAUGAACAUCCAUUCCACUCACCCUCUCCUGCUGA